rnacentral:rRNA from 1 species
UCGAACGCUUCUUUUUCCACCGGAGCUUGCUCCACCGGAAAAAGAGGAGUGGCGAACGGGUGAGUAACACGUGGGUAACCUGCCCAUCAGAAGGGGAUAACACUUGGAAACAGGUGCUAAUACCGUAUAACAAUCGAAACCGCAUGGUUUUGAUUUGAAAGGCGCUUUCGGGUGUCGCUGAUGGAUGGACCCGCGGUGCAUUAGCUAGUUGGUGAGGUAACGGCUCACCAAGGCGACGAUGCAUAGCCGACCUGAGAGGGUGAUCGGCCACAUUGGGACUGAGACACGGCCCAAACUCCUACGGGAGGCAGCAGUAGGGAAUCUUCGGCAAUGGACGAAAGUCUGACCGAGCAACGCCGCGUGAGUGAAGAAGGUUUUCGGAUCGUAAAACUCUGUUGUUAGAGAAGAACAAGGAUGAGAGUAACUGUUCAUCCCUUGACGGUAUCUAACCAGAAAGCCACGGCUAACUACGUGCC